GCACUGGGGGUUGUAGGACUGCAAUGUGCAAGAGGUAAGUUUAGCAGAACAUUCUGGAAAGUAUAACCAUAGAGGGUGAUAGUCCCGUAUGCGAAAAACAAACCUUAGCUAGCAGUAUCCUGAGUAGGGCGGGACACGAGGAAUCCUGUCUGAAUCCGGGUCGACCACGAUCCAACCCUAAAUACUAAUACCAGAUCGAUAGUGCACAAGUACCGUGAGGGAAAGGUGAAAAGAACUGAGGUGAUCAGAGUGAAAUAGAACCUGAAACCAUUUGCUUACAAUCAUUCAGAGCCCUAUGUAGCAAUACAGGGUGAUGGACUGCCUUUUGCAUAAUGAGCCUGCGAGUUGUGGUGUCUGGCAAGGUUAAGCAAACGCGAAGCCGUAGCGAAAGCGAGUCUGAAUAGGGCGCUUAGUCAGAUGCUGCAGACCCGAAACGAAGUGAUCUAUCCAUGAGCAAGUUGAAGCUAGUGUAAGAACUAGUGGAGGACUGAACCCAUAGGCGUUGAAAAGCCCCGGGAUGACUUGUGGAUAGGGGUGAAAGGCCAAUCAAACUUCGUGAUAGCUGGUUCUCUCCGAAAUAUAUUUAGGUAUAGCGUUGUGUCGUAAUAUAAGGGGGUAGAGCACUGAAUGGGCUAGGGCAUACACCAAUGUACCAAACCCUAUCAAACUCCGAAUACCUUAUAUGUAAUCACAGCAGUCAGGCGGCGAGUGAUAAAAUCCGUCGUCAAGAGGGAAACAACCCAGACUACCAGCUAAGGUCCCUAAAUCUUACUUAAGUGGAAAACGAUGUGAAGUUACUUAAACAACCAGGAGGUUGGCUUAGAAGCAGCCAUCCUUUAAAGAAAGCGUAAUAGCUCACUGGUCUAGUGAUUUUGCGCGGAAAAUAUAACGGGGCUAAAGUAAGUACCGAAGCUGUAGACUUGCACACAACUUAGAUUAUUUAAGUUUAGAAUAUGAGAAACUAAGUUAUAUGUUUAGUUAUAUUUUUACUGAUUUUUAUAGAGUAAAGAUAGAAAUAAAACUUAGUAAAAUCAGUAAAAAUAUUCUUAGGCUAAAGUUAAGUAGUUUAAGUUGUGUGCAAGUGGUAGGAGAGCGUUCUAUUUGCGUCGAAGGUAUACCGGUAAGGAGUGCUGGAGCGAAUAGAAGUGAGCAUGCAGGCAUGAGUAGCGAUAAUUAAUGUGAGAAUCAUUAACGCCGUAAACCCAAGGUUUCCUACGCGAUGCUCGUCAUCGUAGGGUUAGUCGGGUCCUAAGUCGAGUCCGAAAGGGGUAGACGAUGGCAAAUUGGUUAAUAUUCCAAUACCAACAUUAGUGUGCGAUGGAAGGACGCUUAGGGCUAAGGGGGCUAGCGGAUGGAAGUGCUAGUCUAAGGUCGUAGGAGGUUAUACAGGCAAAUCCGUAUAACAAUACUCCGAGAACUGAAAGGCUUUUUGAAGUCUUCGGAUGGAUAGAAGAACCCCUGAUGCCGUCGAGCCAAGAAAAGUUUCUAAGUUUAGCUAAUGUUGCCCGUACCGUAAACCGACACAGGUGGGUGGGAUGAGUAUUCUAAGGCGCGUGGAAGAACUCUCUUUAAGGAACUCUGCAAAAUAGCACCGUAUCUUCGGUAUAAGGUGUGGUUAGCUUUGUAUUAGGAUUUACUCCGAAAGCGAAGAAACUUACAACAAAGAGUCCCUCCCGACUGUUUACCAAAAACACAGCACUCUGCUAACUCGUAAGAGGAUGUAUAGGGUGUGACGCCUGCCCGGUGCUCGAAGGUUAAUUGAUGGGGUUAGCAUUAGCGAAGCUCUUGAUCGAAGCCCGAGUAAACGGCGGCCGUAACUAUAACGGUCCUAAGGUAGCGAAAUUCCUUGUCGGUUAAAUACCGACCUGCAUGAAUGGCGUAACGAGAUGGGAGCUGUCUCAAAGAGGGAUCCAGUGAAAUUGUAGUGGAGGUGAAAAUUCCUCCUACCCGCGGCAAGACGGAAAGACCCCGUGGACCUUUACUACAGCUUGACACUGCUACUUGGAUAAGAAUGUGCAGGAUAGGUGGGAGGCUUUGAGUAUAUGACGCCAGUUGUAUAUGAGCCAUUGUUGAGAUACCACUCUUUCUUAUUUGGGUAGCUAACCAGCUUGAGUUAUCCUCAAGUGGGACAAUGUCUGGUGGGUAGUUUGACUGGGGCGGUCGCCUCCCAAAUAAUAACGGAGGCUUACAAAGGUUGGCUCAGAACGGUUGGAAAUCGUUCGUAGAGUAUAAAGGUAUAAGCCAGCUUAACUGCAAGACAUACAAGUCAAGCAGAGACGAAAGUCGGUCUUAGUGAUCCGGUGGUUCUGUGUGGAAGGGCCAUCGCUCAAAGGAUAAAAGGUACCCCGGGGAUAACAGGCUGAUCUCCCCCAAGAGCUCACAUCGACGGGGAGGUUUGGCACCUCGAUGUCGGCUCAUCGCAUCCUGGGGCUGGAGCAGGUCCCAAGGGUAUGGCUGUUCGCCAUUUAAAGCGGUACGCGAGCUGGGUUCAGAACGUCGUGAGACAGUUCGGUCCCUAUCUGCCGUGGGCGUAAGAAGAUUGAAGAGAUUUGACCCUAGUACGAGAGGACCGGGUUGAACAAACCACUGGUGUAGCUGUUGUUCUGCCAAGAGCAUCGCAGCGUAGCUAAGUUUGGAAAGGAUAAACGCUGAAAGCAUCUAAGCGUGAAGCCAACUCUAAGAUGAAUCUUCUCUAAGCUCUCUAGAAGACUACUAGUUUGAUAGGCUGGGUGUGUAAUGGAUGAAAGUCCUUUAGCUGACCAGUACUAAUAGAGCGUUUGGCUUAUCUUUAAUAAAGCAU
rnacentral:rRNA from 1 species